ensembl:lncRNA
AUGUCCAAUCUCACACCAGACGCUCAGGCCCGUCCAGACCAGACUGAGAGUGAUGGGUCCUCUGAACCGUCACCCCAGGCUUUGAGGAAGCCACCUGGGCAUCUGAAAUUGGCACGCAGCCUUUCUAAAUCAGACUCCGACCUGCUGGCUUCCCCUCAUUGUGAGGACGACGGGCCUCUUGGUGGCCGGAGCGAAUCCCUGUCCAACUGUGCUGAUGAGAGGAAGGAAACGGAGCAGAUGCCAUCGUUUGCCUCCGAAUGGGACGAGGUAAGAGCUGAUGAACUAAGAGUAGAGGAGGGAGAACAUGAGACUUCCUCUCAUGAGGGACAGACCAGAGCAGACACCCGCGUGCUGGAGCAGUCGGUGGGGGAGUGGCUGGAACACGUGGGCUUUCCUCAGUAUGAGAGCAAACUGGUUCUCAAUGGCUUCGAUGACCUGCGCUACAUGGGGAGUAACGUGAUGGAAGAUGAGGACCUUCAGGGAAUUGGCAUCACCGACCCAGGACACAGAAAGAAAAUCCUUCAUGCAGCAAAAAGCCUCCCAAAGGUGAAAGCUCUGGGGUGUGACGGCAGCCCCUCUCUGUCCUCAUGGCUGGAAACUCUGGGUCUUGGAGAGUAUCUGCACAACUUCCUGUCUAGCGGCUACCGCACCCUGGACUGCGUAAAGAAUCUGUGGGAGCUCGAAAUUGUUAAUGUGUUGAAAAUUGGCCUUCUUGGUCACAGAAAAAGAAUCAUAGCCUCAAUAGCAGAGCGACCAUAUGAGGAAGCACCUUCGAAAUCCAACCGCUUUUCCCAGCUCAAGAUUCAGGACCUGUUGUCUCAAAAUACGUCACCGCUCAGUUAUAUGGAUCCGUACACCAGUCGCUCCAUGGAUAUGUUGCUUCCGUUGGGAGAAUCAGGCAGAAAGAGCCGAGACCGUCAUGCAGAUCGACAUUCACGUCUAAAUAUUCGUCCUUCCAGCCACUCUGCCACAUAUACCACAGUCUCCACCUGGCACCAUCACCCUGACAAACUUAUCACCGAGUCCUGCGUUUAUGAGGCCAGAUAUUUAGGGUCUGUGAUCAUCCGAGACCUACGAGGAAUUGAAUCUACACAGGAGGCCUGCGCUAGAAUAAGGAAAUCAAAGGAUCACCGGAAAGGUCCCGUCAUAAUCCUGAAUAUCACCUACAAAGGAGUCAAGUUUGUUGACGCAGCCACCAAGGCGAUGGUUGCAGAGCAUGAUAUCCAGAACAUCUCUUGCGCAGCCCAGGAUCCAGAUGAUCUUUGCACAUUUGCAUACAUCACAAAAGAUCUGAAGUCUGGUUAUCACUUCUGCCAUGUCUUCACUACAGUAGAAGUGGUGGGGGAAAUUUAA